UACGAAGGGGGCUAGCGUUGCUCGGAAUCACUGGGCGUAAAGCGCACGUAGGCGGCUUCUUAAGUCAGGGGUGAAAUCCUGGAGCUCAACUCCAGAACUGCCUUUGAUACUGAGGAGCUUGAGUCCGGGAGAGGUGAGUGGAACUGCGAGUGUAGCGGUGAAAUGCGUAGAUAUCCGGAGGAACACCGGUGGCGAAGGCGGCUUCCUGGACCGACACUGACGCUGAGGCGCGAAAGCUAGGGGAGCGAAUGGG
rnacentral:rRNA from 1 species